GAUGAAGAACGAAGCGAAAUGCGAUAAGUAAUGUGAAUUGCAGAAUUCAGUGAAUCAUCGAAUCUUUGAACGCACAUUGCGCCCGGUAGUAUUCUGCCGGGCAUGCCUGUUCGAGCGUCAUUUCAACCAUCAAGCCCCAGCGCUUGUGUUGGGGGCCUGCGGCUGCCGCAGCCCCCCAAAAGCAGUGGCGGGCUCGCUAUCACACCGAGUGCAGUAGUUCAUCUUCUCUCCGGUCUUGUGAGGCGGGUUCCGGCCGUGAAACACCCCACUACAUUCAAGGUUGACCUCGGAUCAGGUAGGAAUACCCGCUGAACUUAAGCAUAUCAAUAAGCGGAGGA
rnacentral:misc_RNA from 1 species